rnacentral:tmRNA from 1 species
GCCCUUACUUCGUCAAGGAUUUCCGCCUAUAUUGAUGAGGCCGGGGCAACCCGGUCUAUGGCGAUAAACGGAUGUCGAAAUAAACCUUUCGGACCCGGGGGCAGUACCCGGCGCCUCCACCCGUGUCGCUCGCCAUACCAGGCACACCCGUUCGUUGUAGCGGGGCCGGUCUUUCCCGUAAGGGGGGACUUUGCGGGCGACACCGGCGGGGGCGAACUAGGAUCGACGAGGGCGUAAAGGGCAUACUUUCGCUCGGCAUGGUUCCGCCGUUAUCGGGCCUAUCUCAUAGUUGCCAACGACAACUAUGCUCCGGUUGCUCAGGCCGCCUAAGCGGUCCUGAAAAACCAAGCCUACAAGUCCUAACGGGAUAAGCUCCGUUAGGCGGGGUUCGGAGGCACCUGGCAACAGAAGCCUCCACU